UGUCCGUACAAGUCCGUCUAUGUGGCCCAAAAUAAGAAGAAUUAAAACAAAAUAGUAAUAAUUUAGACCUACCUUGUUCGGUCACAUGAUCCACAAUGUGCCCUCACUGCCCUGACGCGCCCAGGCAUGCCCUGCUGCUAAUCGCAAGUUGCUGGAGACGGCCACUGCUAGUCUCCUGUCCGUGUCUACAACAUCAGAUCAAUACAGCAAUAUCAGCAGCAGCAGCAGCAGCCUCCUCAGCAACCCCUCAACAGAAGCUCUUCAAUGUACCCAUGAGACAGAGCGCAGCGUCCCAGCACCGUGAGGCGGGUGGUGGCCUACCCUCCUGUAC